UACGUAGGGUCCGAGCGUUGUCCGGAAUUACUGGGCGUAAAGAGCUCGUAGGUGGUUUGUCGCGUUGUUCGUGAAAACUCACAGCUCAACUGUGGGCGUGCGGGCGAUACGGGCAGACUAGAGUACUGCAGGGGAGACUGGAAUUCCUGGUGUAGCGGUGGAAUGCGCAGAUAUCAGGAGGAACACCGGUGGCGAAGGCGGGUCUCUGGGCAGUAAACUGACGCUGGAGG
rnacentral:rRNA from 1 species